UUGAACGCUGGCGGCAUGCCUUACACAUGCAAGUCGAACGGCAGCACGGGGGCAACCCUGGUGGCGAGUGGCGAACGGGUGAGUAAUGCAUCGGAACGUGCCCUGGAGUGGGGGAUAACGUAGCGAAAGUUACGCUAAUACCGCAUAUUCUGUGAGCAGAAAAGCAGGGGAUCUUCGGACCUUGUGCUUUGGGAGCGGCCGAUGUCGGAUUAGCUAGUUGGUGAGGUAAAGGCUCACCAAGGCGACGAUCCGUAGCGGGUCUGAGAGGAUGAUCCGCCACACUGGAACUGAGACACGGUCCAGACUCCUACGGGAGGCAGCAGUGGGGAAUUUUGGACAAUGGGCGCAAGCCUGAUCCAGCCAUGCCGCGUGGGUGAAGAAGGCCUUCGGGUUGUAAAGCUCUUUCGGCGGGGAAGAAAUAGCGUGGGUUAAUACCCUGCGUUGAUGACGGUACCCGCAUAAGAAGCACCGGCUAACUACGU
rnacentral:rRNA from 1 species